ACAAUCUGAAAAUUACCUUUGGCAUUUUGUUGCGAUGGGUAAGAUUAUUGUGCCAACAUUAAUUCGGUACAUUUAGCUUAUUGCCAACUUCAUGUAGUUGUGCAAUGAAACCCAUGUGCCUACAUUA
rnacentral:snoRNA from 8 species